CUCAGCCUCCACCUCCAUCAAAACCCUCCGGGCCUUUUCUGCAGCAAUUUGUGAAAAUAAACAGCAGAUAACAUCUGUUGGAAGGCUUGUUUGCUGUUCUUUCCUUCUCUUUCGUCUCAGAGUAUAUAAUUAAAACCAAUUAUGACAAGCGCAGCAUGGUGGGGCCCGGCGUGCCCUGGUGCAGGAAGAGCCUGGUGAGGAAGCACGCCCUGAACUCUGCGCUCCGGCUGCCACACCUGGGACAUGCACAGAAGGGCCGGGAUGCAGCUCCCUGGCCCUGCAGCAGAACCAAAACGACCACACAGGGGUUCAGCAGCAUGGGGAGAAGCAGGAGAGGGUGAAGGUACCCCCAGGGAGUGUGGACAAAACCAGUAUAUCCAGGGAAGAUUGUGCUGGAAAUUGUGCUGGAAAAGUGGCACAAACAAGGAGAGAGACACACAAAAGCAUCAGGGAACUGCAGACCAGCAGAAAGGAGUACUCUGAGCCCCGAGCUUCCGUUUCUCCUUCCAUACAGCCCCACUGCUCCCAUCCACAACUGCAGCUGCAUCUUCCAUAAGAGAAAUCCACCUCCUACCACAAGACCAUUUUUCAUCGGGGUUCUGACGCAAGUGAGAUGAGAGUUCAGUGCAACCUCACGGCCACCCUGGACAGCCAACUGCUAUUGCAAGAAACCACAUUUUCUGAUCACCUUGUAAUUUAUGGAGCUCACUCUUGGGUUUUCACCCUCCGCCUUCCCUGU